UAACGCGUGAGGAACCUGCCUUCCAGAGGGGGACAACAGUUGGAAACGACUGCUAAUACCGCAUGACACAUGACCGUGGCAUCACGGACAUGUCAAAGAUUUAUCGCUGGAAGAUGGCCUCGCGUCUGAUUAGCUGGUAGGCGGGGUAACGGCCCACCUAGGCAACGAUCAGUAGCCGGACUGAGAGGUUGACCGGCCACAUUGGGACUGAGAUACGGCCCAGACUCCUACGGGAGGCAGCAG
rnacentral:rRNA from 1 species